CGCGGCCUAUCAGCUUGUUGGUGAGGUAACGGCUCACCAAGGCGACGACGGGUAGCUGGUCUGAGAGGACGAUCAGCCACACUGGGACUGAGACACGGCCCAGACUCCUACGGGAGGCAGCAGCAGGGAAUAUUGCGCAAUGGGCGAAAGCCUGACGCAGCGACGCCGCGUGGGGGAUGAAGGCCUUCGGGUUGUAAACCCCUUUCAGGAGGGAAGAAAUUGACGGUACCUCCAAAAGAAGCCCCGGCCAACUACGUGCCAGCAGCCGCGGUAAGACGUAGGGGGCGAGCGUUGUCCGGAAUCAUUGGGCGUAAAGGGCUCGUAGGCGGCUCGGUAAGUCGAUCGUGAAAUCCCGGAGCUCAACUCCGGAACUGCGGUCGAUACUGCCGUGGCUAGAGUCAGGUAGAGGAGAGUAGAAUUCCCGGUGUAGCGGUGGAAUGCGCAGAUAUCGGGAGGAAUACCAUUUAGCGAAGGCGGCUCUCUGGGCCUGUACUGACGCUGAGGAGCGAAAGCGUGGGUAGCAAACAGGAUUAGAUACCCUGGUAGUCCACGCCGUAAACGUUGGGCACUAGACGUGGUGGCCUGACCAAGGGCUGCUGUGUCGACGCUAACGCAUUAAGUGCCCCGCCUGGGGAGUACGG
rnacentral:rRNA from 1 species